UGCGGCAGGCCUAACACAUGCAAGUCGAACGGUAACAGGAAACAGCUUGCUGUUUCGCUGACGAGUGGCGGACGGGUGAGUAAUGUCUGGGAAACUGCCUGAUGGAGGGGGAUAACUACUGGAAACGGUAGCUAAUACCGCAUAACGUCGCAAGACCAAGGAGGGGGACCCUCGGGCCUCUUGCCAUCGGAUGUGCCCAGAUGGGAUUAGCUUGUUGGUGGGGUAACGGCUCACCAAGGCGACGAUCCCUAGCUGGUCUGAGAGGAUGACCAGCCACACUGGAACUGAGACACGGUCCAGACUCCUACGGGAGGCAGCAGUGGGGAAUAUUGCACAAUGGGCGCAAGCCUGAUGCAGCCAUGCCGCGUGUAUGAAGAAGGCCUUCGGGUUGUAAAGUACUUUCAGCGGGGAGGAAGGGAGUAAAGUUAAUACCUUUGCUCAUUGACGUUACCCGCAGAAGAAGCACCGGCUAACUCCGUGCCAGCAGCCGCGGUAAUACGGAGGGUGCAAGCGUUAAUCGGAAUUACUGGGCGUAAAGCGCACGCAGGCGGUUUGUUAAGUCAGAUGUGAAAUCCCCGGGCUCAACCUGGGAACUGCAUCUGAUACUGGCAAGCUUGAGUCUCGUAGAGGGGGGUAGAAUUCCAGGUGUACCGGUGAAAAUGCGUAGAGAUCUGGAGGAAUACCGGAGGCGAAGGCGGCCCCCUGGACGAAGACUGACGCUCAGGUGCGAAAGCGUGGGGAGCAAACAGGAUUAGAUACCCUGGUAGUCCACGCAGUAAACGAUGUCGACUUGGAGGUUGUGCCCUUGAGGCGUGGCUUCCGGAGCUAACGCGUUAAGUCGACCGCCUGGGGAGUACGGCCGCAAGGUUAAAACUCAAAUGAAUUGACGGGGGCCCGCACAAGCGGUGGAGCAUGUGGUUUAAUUCGAUGCAACGCGAAGAACCUUACCUGGUCUUGACAUCCACGGAAGUUUUCAGAGAUGAGAAUGUGCCUUCGGGAACCGUGAGACAGGUGCUGCAUGGCUGUCGUCAGCUCGUGUUGUGAAAUGUUGGGUUAAGUCCCGCAACGAGCGCAACCCUUAUCCUUUGUUGCCAGCGGUCCGGCCGGGAACUCAAAGGAGACUGCCAGUGAUAAACUGGAGGAAGGUGGGGAUGACGUCAAGUCAUCAUGGCCCUUACGACCAGGGCUACACACGUGCUACAAUGGCGCAUACAAAGAGAAGCGACCUCGCGAGAGCAAGCGGACCUCAUAAAGUGCGUCGUAGUCCGGAUUGGAGUCUGCAACUCGACUCCAUGAAGUCGGAAUCGCUAGUAAUCGUGGAUCAGAAUGCCACGGUAAAUACGUUCCCGGGCCUUGUACACACCGCCCGUCACACCAUGGGAGUGGGUUGCAAAAGAAGUAGGUAGCUUAACCUUCGGGAGGGCGCUUACCACUUUGUGAUUCAUGACUGGG
rnacentral:rRNA from 1 species